UCUUUUUCCACCGGAGCUUGCUCCACCGGAAAAAGAAGAGUGGCGAACGGGUGAGUAACACGUGGGUAACCUGCCCAUCAGAAGGGGAUAACACUUGGAAACAGGUGCUAAUACCGUAUAACAAUCGAAACCGCAUGGUUUUGAUUUGAAAGGCGCUUUCGGGUGUCGCUGAUGGAUGGACCCGCGGUGCAUUAGCUAGUUGGUGAGGUAACGGCUCACCAAGGCCACGAUGCAUAGCCGACCUGAGAGGGUGAUCGGCCACAUUGGGACUGAGACACGGCCCAAACUCCUACGGGAGGCAGCAGUAGGGAAUCUUCGGCAAUGGACGAAAGUCUGACCGAGCAACGCCGCGUGAGUGAAGAAGGUUUUCGGAUCGUAAAACUCUGUUGUUAGAGAAGAACAAGGAUGAGAGUAACUGUUCAUCCCUUGACGGUAUCUAACCAGAAAGCCACGGCUAACUACGUGCCAGCAGCCGCGGUAAUACGUAGGUGGCAAGCGUUGUCCGGAUUUAUUGGGCGUAAAGCGAGCGCAGGCGGUUUCUUAAGUCUGAUGUGAAAGCCCCCGGCUCAACCGGGGAGGGUCAUUGGAAACUGGGAGACUUGAGUGCAGAAGAGGAGAGUGGAAUUCCAUGUGUAGCGGUGAAAUGCGUAGAUAUAUGGAGGAACACCAGUGGCGAAGGCGGCUCUCUGGUCUGUAACUGACGCUGAGGCUCGAAAGCGUGGGGAGCAAACAGGAUUAGAUACCCUGGUAGUCCACGCCGUAAACGAUGAGUGCUAAGUGUUGGAGGGUUUCCGCCCUUCAGUGCUGCAGCUAACGCAUUAAGCACUCCGCCUGGGGAGUACGACCGCAAGGUUGAAACUCAAAGGAAUUGACGGGGGCCC
rnacentral:rRNA from 1 species